GGGGAUUUAGCUCAAUGGUAUAAGCACCUGCUUUGUAAGCGCAUGGUCAUGAGUUCAAUCCUCAGUACCCCCC
rnacentral:tRNA from 1 species